CAAAGGAUCCUGCACCCAUCCACGGGGACCCAGGUGUCCAGGGAGCUCCUGCACCCAUCCACAGGGACCCAGAUGUCCGGGAGGUUCCUGUGCUCAUCCCAAAAGACCCAGGUGUCCAGGGGGCUCCUGCACCCAUCCCAAAGGAUCCUGCACCCAUCCAUGGGGACCCAGGUGUCCAGGGAGCUCCUGCACCCAACCCUGGGGAUCCAGGUGUCCGGGAGGCUCCUGCACCCAUCCCAAAGGACCUAGGUGUCCAGGAGAUUCCUGUGCCCAUCCAUGGGGACCCAGGUGCCCAGGAGCUCCCCCCACCCCCCCCUUCACCCCGCGCGGGGCCCCGGCGUCCGGGCGCACCUGUGACCUGGUCGACGAGGAUGCGGGAGGUGAUGAUGCGGCCGUACUGGGAGAAGAGCUGCUCCAUCUCCUUCUGGCCCAUGGCCUUGGGCAGCCCGCUCACGUAGAGGUUGGCGUCGCGGAUGGAGGCCGAGCUGGGCCGCGCGUACGACACCUGCGCGGGCGUCAGCGGGGCCCAGGCGUCCGGGCACGGCUCCCCCACGCCCACCCCAGCCACCCAGGAGUCCCCCAGGGACCUCCCAGGGACCCAGGAGUCCCCCAGGGGCCCAGGUGUCCCCAUGGGGAACCCAAGCACCCCCCCCCCCCAUGGAUCCAGUUGUCCCUCAGGGACCUCCCAGGGAUCCAGGUGUCCCCACGGAUCCAGGUGUCCCCAAGGACCCAGGUGUCCCCAUGGGGAACUCAAUCACCCCCCAUGGAUCCAGGUGUCCCUCAGGGACCUCCCAGGGAUCCAGGUGUCCCCAUGGAUCCAGGUGUCCCCCAGGGACCCAAACACCUGCCAAGGACCCAGGUGUCCCCAUGGGUAACCCAAGCACCCCCCUAUGGAUCCAGGUGUCCCUCAGGGACCUCCCAAGGGUCCAGGUGUCCCCAUGGAUCCAGGUGUCCCCCAGGGACCCAGGUGUCCCCAUGGGGAACCCAAGCUCCCCCCAUGGAUCCAGGUGUCCCUCAGGGACCCA
rnacentral:lncRNA from 1 species